GACGAACGCUGGCGGCGUGCCUAAUACAUGCAAGUCGAACGAACCGCGACUAGGUGCUUGCAUCUGGUCAUGGCGAGUGGCGAACGGGUGAGUAACACGUGGGUAACCUAUCUCACAGUGGGGGAUAACAGUCGGAAACGACUGCUAAUACCGCAAUGGACAUAGGCUUACAUGAUUCUGUGAAGACAGGUGGCGCGAGCCAUCGCUAAGAGAUGGACCCGCGGUGCAUUAGUUAGAUGGUAAGGUAAAGGCCGACCAAGGCAAUGAUGCGUAGCCGACCUGAGAGGGUGGUCGGCCACACUGGAACUGAGCCAAGGUCCAGACUCCGAGGGGAGGAAGCAGUAGGGAAUCUUCCGCAAUGGGCGAAAGUCGGACGGAGCAACGCCGGGUGAGUGAUGAAGGUCUUCGGAUCGUAAAACUCUGUUAUUAGGGAAGAACAAAUGUGUAAGUAACUAUGCACGUUUUGACGGUACCUAAUCAGAAAGCCACGGCUAACUACGUG
rnacentral:rRNA from 1 species